GGAAUGGCAGAAUAUUUAUUCCACAGAAUUCGCAAAAUCUCAGUCGCGUUUGAUUCGCGGAGUUGAGUGGUCGUGGUUUUGUUGUCAGUGCUCAUGUGGAUUUUUAAGUAUUUUUAAACAAAGUGAAGUCUGUUUUGAAAGAUAAAUCUGAUUACAUAUAUUUGUUGGAAAUAAAUAUUACUAAAAAUGAAUAAUGAACAAUUAAAAUAUGCUUAGAAUUUUCCAAAUCUGGAAUUGUAAAAAAAUGUCUGAAAUCGGUCAUUGAGGCUGUUUAUUUAGUCAGAUGAAAUGGACAAAUCCAGUGAUGAAUGCGAAAUACUUACAUUGAGUUCCAGGGGACUUAAUAGUAAAAUAUUUUUGGGAUAUGGUCUAGUCAAAGAGUUACACAAAAAAUGUAUGUCGUGAAUUCAUCGAAAUAAAUGAAAUGAUAAAUGCGUAUACUGAAGUGACAGUUCGACCAAAUUUCCUCUUGAGAUGUUUCAAUCUUUCAGCAAAAGAUAACACGUAAGACGUUUACUUGAUCAGAUAACGUCUCAAAUGCGUAAAGCUUUCAUAUUGAAUCUCCAACAGACGAAUAACAAAAUAAUACUGGAGAUGAGCAAAUAUUUUUAAUAUUAUGAAUACUACAUUUGGUGAACCGAUAUCCUGGAUUAAAAAUAUAUUUCAUAACAGUUUGGACUGAAUGUGAACAGAAGUUAGGAAAUUUUGAUUAUAUAAAUAGUUGUCAAUGCUAACUUUCUUCUAAAAGCAGUACAAAAUUUUAAACCACUAUUUAAGUACAACAAAUUGAAAUCAUUUCAAUACCAGUAAUUUCCAGUAAUACCAGUAAUUUACAAAAUACCGCAUAAAUACCGAUGUAAGAUGUCUAGGAUCAUCUCACCGGAGAGGAGUAAAAACAGAUAAGCUAAAAUAUUUUUACUAUUAUCAUUUUCUUAACAAUAUGUGCUAAUCUAAUUAAGACAAAAAUCCUAUUUAAACAAUACAAAUUGAUUUUGUUGGCAAAUAAUACUACAUUAUAAAAGCUGUGCUAAAAAUUUUUACGAUUACUGCGGUUUUGAUAAUUAUUUCCAAAAAAAAGUGUUAAAGGAUCAUUGGAUAAAUAUUGAAGCCUAAUAUGAUUUUGGUUUAAAUUAAAUUUUAAUGUACUUUAAACCAAUGUAUAUACUAAUGAAUUUGU